rnacentral:rRNA from 1 species
AUGUCGGCCGGCGCUGGGGGCGACACCCUGGGCGAGAUCCUGGCGAUCGCCGGCGCUCCGUCCCGGGGCGAGCUCGAGGCGUUCGUAAGGGCCGUGGUGGAGCGCGUCCUCACCGACCGAUCCGGCAUCGGCGGGCCGGCCGUGGCCUUCGCGUGCGGCGCGUGGAGCGACAAGAGGUGGCCGCUCAAGCCCGCGUACCGCGACACCGUGGUCGGCACGUACAAGGGCGAGACAUGGGCCCUUCCACAAUCGUGUACGUCUAUACAUGUCUCAACUCUCAUCUUCGUACUGAAAAAAAAAGCUAUCACGUGUCUAUAUAGUUCAGAUCUCAUUGUCUUAUAGAAGUUCUACCCAGUGGAAUCAAGGAAAGAAAUAAACGCAUGGGUGGCCAAGGCGACGAGGAACCUCAUCACGGAGGUUCUCGACCCAUACAAGAAAAGCCACACCCUCCACGUGGUCGCUAACGCCAUCUACUUCAAGGGCGAGUGGCGCAAGACCUUCCACAAGGACGACACCGUCGACGAUGAGUUCCAACUUCUCGACGGCAGCAUCGUGGGCAAGGUGCCCUUCUUGCAGAGGCCGUGGAGGAUGUACCAGCAAAUCGCGUGCCACGAUGGGUUCAGGGUGUUGAAGCUGCCGUACAAGGCGUACAACGACGACAGCCCGCCGGCGUACAACUCCAAGCUGCGGUUCUCCAUGUGCGUCUUUCUCCCCGAGGACUGCGACGGCCUGUGGAGCUUGCUCGACAGGAUCACGGCCCGCCCAGAGUUCCUACACGAGCACCUGCCGAGGGACCAUGUCCCUGUCGGCAAGUUCCGGCUGCCCAAGUUCAAGCUGACGUACAUGAGCAGCAUCCGCGGCGUUCUCAAAGACCUGGGCCUCCGGCUGCCCUUCGAUCCCCUUCUGGCCAACAUGACCGGGAUCGUCGGGGACGACGAGUCGGUCGUGCCGCUGUGCGUAAGCGAGGUUGUCCACAAGGCGGUGGUGGAGAUGAACGAGGAGGGGUGCGAGGCCGCCGCCGUCACCGUGGAGUCAGACGACGACUUGGGGUUCUCGCUUUACUGCGAUUACGAGUACGUGCCACCACCUCCAACAGUGGACUUCGUCGCCGACCACCCGUUCGCCUUCUUCAUCGUUGAGGAGACUUCAGGCACCGUUGUCUUCGCUGGGCAUGUGCUCGAUCCUACCAAGGAAGAGUAG